CAGGCUUAACACAUGCAAGUCGAGGGGCAUCAGGAAGAAAGCUUGCUUUCUUUGCUGGCGACCGGCGCACGGGUGAGUAACACGUAUCCAACCUGCCCUUUACUCGGGGAUAGCCUUUCGAAAGAAAGAUUAAUACCCGAUAGCAUAAUGAUUCCGCAUGGUUUCAUUAUUAAAGGAUUCCGGUAAAGGAUGGGGAUGCGUUCCAUUAGGUUGUUGGUGAGGUAACGGCCCACCAAGCCUUCGAUGGAUAGGGGUUCUGAGAGGAAGGUCCCCCACAUUGGAACUGAGACACGGUCCAAACUCCUACGGGAGGCAGCAGUGAGGAAUAUUGGUCAAUGGGCGCUAGCCUGAACCAGCCAAGUAGCGUGAAGGAUGAAGGCUCUAUGGGUCGUAAACUUCUUUUAUAUAAGAAUAAAGUGCAGUAUGUAUACUGUUUUGUAUGUAUUAUAUGAAUAAGGAUCGGCUAACUCCGUGCCAGCAGCCGCGGUAAUACGGAGGAUCCGAGCGUUAUCCGGAUUUAUUGGGUUUAAAGGGAGCGUAGGUGGACUGGUAAGUCAGUUGUGAAAGUUUGCGGCUCAACCGUAAAAUUGCAGUUGAUACUGUCAGUCUUGAGUACAGUAGAGGUGGGCGGAAUUCGUGGUGUAGCGGUGAAAUGCUUAGAUAUCACGAAGAACUCCGAUUGCGAAGGCAGCUCACUGGACUGCAACUGACACUGAUGCUCGAAAGUGUGGGUAUCAAACAGGAUUAGAUACCCUGGUAGUCCACACAGUAAACGAUGAAUACUCGCUGUUUGCGAUAUACAGUAAGCGGCCAAGCGAAAGCAUUAAGUAUUCCACCAGGGGAGUACGCCGGCAACGGUGAAACUCAAAGGAAUUGACGGGGGCCCGCACAAGCGGAGGAACAUGUGGUUUAAUUCGAUGAUACGCGAGGAACCUUACCCGGGCUUAAAUUGCAGUGGAAUGAUGUGGAAACAUGUCAGUGAGCAAUCACCGCUGUGAAGGUGCUGCAUGGUUGUCGUCAGCUCGUGCCGUGAGGUGUCGGCUUAAGUGCCAUAACGAGCGCAACCCUUAUCUUUAGUUACUAACAGGUUAUGCUGAGGACUCUAGAGAGACUGCCGUCGUAAGAUGUGAGGAAGGUGGGGAUGACGUCAAAUCAGCACGGCCCUUACGUCCGGGGCUACACACGUGUUACAAUGGGGGGUACAGAAGGCAGCUAGCGGGUGACCGUAUGCUAAUCCCAAAAUCCUCUCUCAGUUCGGAUCGAAGUCUGCAACCCGACUUCGUGAAGCUGGAUUCGCUAGUAAUCGCGCAUCAGCCACGGCGCGGUGAAUACGUUCCCGGGCCUUGUACACACCGCCCGUCAAGCCAUGGGAGCCGGGGGUACCUGAAGUACGUAACCGCAAGGAUCGUCCUAGGGUAAAACUGGUGACUGGGGCUA
rnacentral:rRNA from 1 species